UUCCAAUUUCUUUUAUAGGACCAAAAACCUGUAAAGCGCAGAAAGGUGACCUCAUAUCCAAGGGAUAAAAGCAUCAAGAGGUUGACAAAGAUGGUGACAUAUCAGGCUUCUGAAUUCAACUCCUCCCACAGACACACCCAAUGGAUAGCUACCCAUGGAGCAGUUACAUCUGAAAGAGAUCCAGAAACCAGCUGAACAACUCCUACAUUUCGGCCUUGUGGACUCAGACCAAAACAUGGCUCUUCUUGGAUUGCAAGCCUACCGGAACUACAAUUCAGCUCUCUUGGGUCUCCAAGUCUCCAGCUUAUGACCUGUGUAUCUUGAAACUUCUCAGCCUCUAUAAUCACUAUAAUCAUAAGUCUCUGAGGAAGAUCUGAAAAGAUCAGGUUCCUCAUUAUGAAACUCUUCAGCAGGAAAACCUUCUCCAAAAUCCCCAGUGAUCUUAUACAUGUUCUACAUGAAGAAGUCACCAUUUAGAUGCCGGCCAUUACCCAUCUCGUUGAAAGCCAAGAGGAUUACAAGACCACUAAUUAAGUAAAAUGACUUCUGCCCA